AGCUCAAAUUUGAAAUCUGGCGUCCUCCGGGCGUCCGAGUUGUAAUCUAUAGAGACGUUUUCCGUGCCGGACCGUGUCCAAGUUCCUUGGAACAGGAUAUCAAAGAGGGUGACAAUCCCGUACUUGACACGACGACCGGUGCUCUGUGAUACGUUUUCUACGAGUCGAGUUGUUUGGGAAUGCAGCUCAAAAUGGGUGGUGAGUUCCAUCUAAAGCUAAAUAUUGGCGAGAGACCGAUAGCGAACAAGUACCGUGAGGGAAAGAUGAAAAGCACUUUGGAAAGAGAGUUAAACAGUACGUGAAAUUGUUAAAAGGGAAACGAUUGAA
rnacentral:rRNA from 1 species